rnacentral:rRNA from 1 species
UUGAACGCUGGCGGUAUGCUUUACACAUGCAAGUCGAACGGGCUAUGGGGCUUGCUCCAUAGUUAGUGGCGAACGGGUGAGUAAUAUAUCGGAACAUAUCCGGAAGUGGGGGAUAACACAGCGAAAGUUGUGCUAAUACCGCAUACGACCUGAGGGUGAAAGCGGGGGACCGUAAGGCCUCGCGCGAUGGGAGCGGCCGAUAUCGGAUUAGCUAGUUGGUGAGGUAAAGGCUCACCAAGGCGACGAUCCGUAGCUGGUCUGAGAGGACGACCAGCCACACUGGAACUGAGACACGGUCCAGACUCCUACGGGAGGCAGCAGUGGGGAAUUUUGGACAAUGGGGGCAACCCUGAUCCAGCCAUUCCGCGUGAGUGAAGAAGGCCUUCGGGUUGUAAAGCUCUUUCAGACGGAAAGAAAUCGGGCGCGUGAAUAGCGUGCCUGGAUGACGGUACUGUCAGAAGAAGCACCGGCUAACUACGU